UUAGACCGCUAGGGCGCAUACGUCAUUUAUAUAUUUAUUUAAGUGACACUUGUGACUGUGAUUAAAAUAUAUUUUACAGGACCAUUAACUAUUAACAAGCACCCUUUGAACUUGACUGAAGAAGUGACCCGCCUACGAUAGGCGAAACAGUUUAUGCUUAUUUCCGUUCUACUGAAGUAUUACACUUCUUUUGCGUUUGAGCGAAACAUAUGCCAAAAAAUGCAACCCAGAUAGUCUUCGCACUAGGUUUGAGACACAACCUCUUCUCAUUUACACUCCUCAGAUCAGUCUCGAUAAUACAUUAAAUAUAAUUUCUACAGCCUUACAAGUUACAUUCAACGGACACGAGCGGACCUGACUUUAUUGCUUUAACGUAUAUGAAUAGGUAACUUGGGAUUCUGCGUUGAUUCGAGUAGAAGUUUUGUUUGGGAUUUUGCAGGAGCUAAUGUUAGCCUGUUAGCUUUUAAUCUGUUCAUAAACCUCCCGUUACAUCAACAUGAAGAUUACUGUGGAUUUUGAGGAAUGUCUCAAAGAUUCACCCAGAUUCAGGGCGACGAUCGAGGAGGUGGAGGGCGACGUCUGUGAACUGGAGAACAAACUUGACAAGCUGGUAAAACUAUGCAUUGGAAUGAUAGAUGCUGGAAAGGCAUACAACACGGCCAACAAACAGUUUGUGAACGGCAUUCGUGAGCUUGCACAGCAGUCUGCCACAGAUGAUGUCAUAGAGUGUAGUCUCACCAAGUUUGCUGAGAGUCUUCAUGAAAUGAUCAACUAUCACACAAUUUUAUUUGACCAAGCACAACGCGCAAUUAAAUCACAACUUCAGCUGUUUGUGCGAGAGGACCUUCGCAGGUUUAAAGAAGCUAAGAAACAGUUCGACAAAGUGAGCGAAGAGAAGGAGGCGGCCCUGUCCAAAAAUGCCCAGGCACCUCGGAACAAACAGCAUGAGGUCGAUGAGGCCACCAACAUCCUUAAUGCCACGCGCAAGUGUUUCCGCCACAUCGUCCUGGACUACGUGCUGCAGAUUAAUGUGCUCCAGUCCAAGAGACGUUCAGAAAUCCUCAAAUCGAUGCUGUCAUUCAUGUACGCCCACCUGACGUUUUUCCAUCAAGGCUAUGAUCUAUUCAGUGAACUACAACCUCUCAUGAAGCACCUCACAUUACAGCUGGAUCAGCUGAUGGUGGAUGCAGCCAAAGAAAGAAAGGACAUGGAGGUGAAACACUCCACUAUACAGAAGAAGCAGUUCUUAAAGGGGUCUGUCUUUCCUCUGCGCUCAUGUGAUGCUGCUCUGCAGGAAUUUUCAAAUGAUGACACUAAACUGGAGUAUAAUGUGGACGCAGAGAAUGGGAUCGUCAUGGAAGGAUAUUUGUUCAAGAGGGCCAGUAACGCCUUUAAAACAUGGAACAGGCGAUGGUUCUCCAUUCAAAACAAUCAGCUUGUAUACCAGAAGAAGUUUAAGGAUAAUCCAACAGUUGUAGUAGAAGACUUGCGACUAUGCACCGUCAAGCAUUGCGAAGACAUCGAACGCCGAUUCUGUUUCGAAGUUGUGUCUCCAACAAAGAGUUGUAUGAUGCAGGCAGACUCUGAGAAGCUCAGGCAGGCCUGGAUCAAAGCCGUCCAAACCAGCAUCGCAACAGCUUUCAGGGACAGAGCAGAAGACGUCGAGAAGAUGGAAAAAAAGUCGUCUGCAUCUACAGGGAGUCUGGACUCGGGUGUCGAUACGCGUGAGAAAAAUCUUAAAGGGGACAGCGAGCUGCAGAAGGUUAUGGCCAUCGCCGGCAAUAGCGUCUGCUGUGAUUGUGGGCAACCCGACCCGCGCUGGGCAAGCAUUAACCUGGGCAUCACUCUAUGCAUCCAGUGCUCUGGCAUACACAGGAGUCUUGGAGUUCACUUCUCUAAGGUCCGGUCUCUCACAUUGGACACAUGGGAACCUGAGUUGCUCAAGCUAAUGUGUGAGCUGGGAAAUGGUGCAAUUAAUCAGAUAUAUGAGGCACGUCGAGAAGAGCUUGGAGCCAGGAAACCACAACCAGGAGAUCCUCGGCAAGAGAUUGAGGCUUACAUCAAAGCCAAGUAUGUUGAGCGAAGAUUUGUCCAAAGACGGUCAGAGGAUGAGAUCAGACAGAAAGUUUUAUCACUGUGUAAUCAAGAUAAAUGUCUCAGCGGCGGCUCAGAAACUCAGUCUACACAAGGACAAACCACAAAAGCCCGUCCAGCUUCUGGUUCCUCAGCGUCCCAUGAGUCUCUCUUCUGUCUAGAUGAGCUUGAUUCUCUCUUCUCCUACUUUAACACCUCUGCCAAGCCACGUAGUUUGAAAAGUACAGACAGUGAAAUACAGAAUCUUGCAGAUGGAAACAGAGAAACUCUGAACGCAACCAACACACACAACACAGAAGUCACCGAGCCUCAGGCUGAAUGUGCUGCUGGAGAUCUGCCGGUGUACUCUGAGCCGAAUCACGUGACCCCGGGUCUACAGCUGUACUGGGCGUCAUUCUCCCGCAGUCUGCCUGAUAUGGCUGAAGCUCUCGCGCAUGGAGCCCAUGUUAACUGGAUCAACACGGACGAUGAUAACCGGACGCCCCUCAUCAUGGCCGUUCAUGGGGGAUCUCUGGUAACUUGUGAAUUCCUGCUUCAAAAUUCAGCCAGUGUGAAUCAGCAAGACAAUCUUGGCAGAGGGCCUUUACAUCAUGCUACUAUACUGGGCCAUACAGGGCAAGUGUGUUUAUUCCUAAAACGAGGAGCCAAUCAGAAUGCACCAGACGCUGAGAAUAAAACACCAUUGUCUAUUGCAGUGGAUGCUGCAAAUGCUGACAUUGUCACAUUGCUUCGAUUGGCCAAAAUGAAUGAAGAGAUGCGUGAAUCAGAGGGUCCAUACAGUCAGACAGGUCAUUAUAACUCUAACAGUCCUACUGAAAUACAGUACAGAAAGUGUAUGGAAGAGUUUAUUAACCUACAACUUGGAGACUCCUAACACAUCUACAGUACAGUACAGUAGGCCCAAAUCAUAAACGCCUGUAUUAUAUGCAAAAUAUCUGUGAAUGUACACAGCAGGUAUAUGGAGCUGGGCUUCAUUUGACCCCAGGAUGGGUUCAUGUAGUUUAGUAUUUUAAUAUAAAACAUCAAACAAACAGUAAGUCAAAAUCUGUUACCACUGGAACAAAUGCAAUAAAUAGCUUUGUGAAUUUGAUGUAAAAUAGUAUUAAACGCAUAUGCCUUAUGAAUACAUUAUUUACAGUGUUUAAAUGUAAUGCAAAUAUUGUCUGUGUCUAAUACUACGGUGUUAUCGAUUGAAUCUGCCACACCUCAUAAGUUAAGUUAGAAAUUAAAUUAAAUUAAAAUGACAAAGAGUUAAAUUUACUGAAUUAACAUUCUGGAAUUCUGGAUUUUUUCCAGCCUGGUCUAUAAAAUGAAAGUUAAUUGAUUGAAUAUAUGAUGCACUGAAUUUUUAUAGAUUGCAUUUUAAACAGAUUUAUUUCACAGUCUGGUAGGCCUUGCAGACUUAAAAACGUUUAGUUUUGUUAACUUAAAAGUAUAUAUUUUUUCUAAAUUUUCUGAAAGGAUUGCUAGAUAAUGUUCUAUACAUUCCAUUAAGAAACUAUUCAGACCCCUACGGUCAGUACCCAAUAAUGACCCAAGUGAAAACAGAAUUUUAGAAAUGUCUGUAAAUUUAUAAAAAAGAAAAACUAAAAUAUCAAAUUCACAUAAAUAUUCCAGACCCUUUGAAACAACACUUGAUAUUCAACUCAAAUUACUCCUAUUUCUCUUGAUCGUUGUUGAGGUGUUUUUGCACCUUAACUGAUAAAUUACAUUUAUUGGAGUUGAUUAAAAAAGGCACACACUUCUAUUCAUUUUAAUUCUGUUUCCUUAAAUUCAGAUUCGAACUUUAAUUCUGCCUCCUUGUUGCUACCUCAGUUCAAUUUAAUAGAAAUACAAGAAUAAAAAUAUACUUUACAAUUCAGUGCUGAAUAGCACAGACGUUUGUCUGGCACUUGCCUAAUACAGAUCAUUUUAUUUUAUGUAAAUAAAGCUGUCUAGAAUUGUUGUCAGAUCAGAGAGAUUUCGUUUACCCAUGAAUAAUAAUUGUGAAUAGUUAACAUAUUUAUCAUGUAUUUUAAAGAGUUUUAUUUGUUUUAUUUUAAGACGGAUAUUUAAAAAAGUUAUUUUUGUAGAUGAUUUUAUGUAGCAGACUUGCACAUUAGUACAAAGUUUACAGAUGUAACAUACUAAAAAACGGAUGUUUUGCAUGUAUUUAUAUAAUUAUACCUGAUAUAGAAUUAUACUAUUAUUUAACAUUAUUUUUAGAUAAUUGUUUAAACAAAUGUAAAUCUAAUCAGAGUUUGUUUAAGUAUAAAUGUAAGAAAAGGAAAAUUCACCUGAAUAUUAUAUUGUUAUGAAUGUAAAUGUUUUGUUAAUUUUAUUUUGUUUAAAUUUAAGUGCCAAAUUGGAUAGGACCUGUUGAUAGAUUCGCUGCUUAAAUCAUAAUAGUUUAGCUAAACUGUCUGGGCUGCAAAUCUUUGUUUUGCUCACAGAGGGGCGCAGUAGAGCAGGAAGUUUGAUAAAACAGGCACAAACUGUAUAAAAAUACAAUAUUACGUGUCCUCCAGUGUAAAGAUGACACAAUUAUUCAGUGCACUAGUGCAGAAUGUAGGAAGAUUGUGGAUCGCAUAAUAACACAGUCAAUAAUUCCAAUAUGUAUUCACUGUAAAAACUUUUUUUUAACUAGUGAUGAGUUGCUAAAAUAAAGUUGAAAUAAGUUAAGCUGAUUUAACUUUAUUUUAUAAGUUACAGUAAAUCCAAUUGAUUAUACUUAAACAUUUUAAGUCCAAAAACAAUUUUAAAGUGCAGUACAGUAUAUGUGAUAUCAUUCUAAGCAGCUUUGAGUUUUUUGUUUUCAUUUUUCAUUUGGAAACGUUUGUAAAAAACAUAAUGUUUUAAAGUAGGAUCAGUACAAGUUAAGCUUAAACAACAGUAGGUAUGGUGUCAGUAAGCACCGGAUAUAAUGCCAUACAUAAUAGUGUCAGUUUAACAUUUCUCUAAAUAAACACUUCACUACAGUGUUUCUAUAAACAUAUUUAAUGUAACAAAUAGCCAGAGAUGUACAAUUUAUAUAUAAACACUUUACAAGCUUUUCAAUUCUGCAAAUAUCUACAUUUCCCUGUUUUCUGCUGCAUUCACCUGCUGUCUUCUGAGCUUCUCCUCUGAAGUUUUGCAGGUGAUGAAACAUACCAGGAUAUUUUCCAAGACUUUUCACAUAUGGCAUCAAAUGAUCCAGAUAAACUCAAUCGCUAUACAUAAGUGAAGGUGAUAUGAUGGAUGUGCAUGUGCAUUUUUUUAUUGGGAUAGCUGCAGAAUAUUGCCUGUAAUGUAAAGUAUUAAAUGUAUUCAUGUGAAUGUCGUAUUUCCAUAAUGUAAUGUGGUAUUUUUAUUUGAAAUUUAGUAAUGGUCAGAGUUUUGUUAAAAAUAUAGUUGUUUUUUUCAUGAAAUCAGUAUCUUUGCCCAUAUAUUAUUAGUUUGGGUGACAGAUUAUAUUGCACUCAUAGUCUUAUUGUAAUGUGCUGUCUUUUUGUAAAUGACCAUAUGUUUAUUAUAGAGUUUAUUCUUUAGUUUAUAUAUAAAUGAACAGUAAAUAAUGGGAGUAUUUGUAUGCAUCUUUUCAAGAAGCACAGUAACCAUUCUUGAAUAAAUGUUCACAUGGAAUUGUGACAAUUUGUGUAAAAAUAGUUUUACAGACGACUUGCACAAAAUUCUUCUGUUUAGUAAAUGACAACCAUUUCUAGUUAUCAACUAUGGCUCAUGUGUAGCUGUGACCUACUCUGUUGGAAUGUAUACAAGUUUACAACAAACGCAUUUUAAAAUAGCAUGCAUUUGUGUCUGUUGCAUGUUUUUUUUUUUUUUUUUUUUUGCUAUUUGAUAUGUUCUUGAGCGUUUUUUGCAUGUGCAUCCCACUCCCACAUUGAUUUUUUAAUAUGUACAAAAAGUAUACAGUGAAACAUGAUCAUAUCACAUUGUAUGGGAUGUAAAUUGUGUAAAUUCUGUACAUACAUCAUCUUGGGCACGGUUGUGUAUUUUGUGGUACUUUUAGGUGAUGUAAGCGUUUUGUGCUUUUUAUUCAGUAUUGAGUAUUUUGUAAUCAUCCUGUAUAUGAUUUCUGCAAUUUUUAAGUUUAUUGUAUCUACUGCAGUUGUUUGACUGAAAUGAUCUCAAUAUAUAUUAUGAAUAGUU